AUUGAACGCUGGCGGCAGGCCUAACACAUGCAAGUCGAACGGUAACAGGAAGACGCUUGCUUCUUUGCUGACGAGUGGCGGACGGGUGAGUAAUGUCUGGGAAACUGCCUGAUGGAGGGGGAUAACUACUGGAAACGGUAGCUAAUACCGCAUAAUGUCGCAAGACCAAAGAGGGGGACCUUCGGGCCUCUUGCCAUCGGAUGUGCCCAGAUGGGAUUAGCUAGUAGGUGGGGUAACGGCUCACCUAGGCGACGAUCCCUAGCUGGUCUGAGAGGAUGACCAGCCACACUGGAACUGAGACACGGUCCAGACUCCUACGGGAGGCAGCAGUGGGGAAUAUUGCACAAUGGGCGCAAGCCUGAUGCAGCUAUGCCGCGUGUAUGAAGAAGGCCUUCGGGUUGUAAAGUACGUUCAGCGGGGAGGAAGGGAGUAAAGUUAAUACCUUUGCUCAUUGACGUUACCCGCAGAAGAAGCACCGGCUAACUCCGUG
rnacentral:rRNA from 1 species